GGUGUGUUUUGGGAGAGAGGGGAGGAUUUAAGUGGGGAGGAGUGUAACAGGAGCAGAUUUCCAGUGCUUAUACUAGCAGUAGCUAGUGGAAAUUUCCCUUUAGCUCUGUUGGUAGAGCGCUGGACGUUGGCUGUGGAGACCCAAGUUUGAAUCCUUGUGUCACCCACGUAGGGAAAUCCUUCAGCGAUUACAUAAUGUGCAUGAAGUAGGACCAUACAAUGUGCACUCUCACCAAAUGCGCUGUGAAGUUCAGGCUGUCAACUCUAAAGUCACAUCGAUGCACAUUGUCAAAAAUUCUGGCUUGUUAUCCCCUUCAUUUGGAGCCCACCAAUUCUCUAAGCUGAUGUGUCUAACUAUUCAGUGCUCACAAGUGGUGGAGCUGUGCAAGCUUGUCCUUGGAGAGUUCAACAUUGACUGAUACAGGGGGUAGUCACUUAAUUGGUUUUCACCUAUUCAUUCAUAUUGUUUGUGCUUCAUUUUUACAUAUUACUUAGUUUCUAAGGUUGUUUGUCUUGUAAGUACAUCUGUAAUCAAUACUCAUCUUAACAAUUUAGGUUUAAAAAUUUUUGGCUAUCAGUAUUUGUCACACAAGUGUGCCAUUUAAUGUAUUUGCUUUCACUAUACAUAUUAAUAACUGGGUCAUACCUAGUAUCUUCACAUUUCUUUGGGGUAUUAUAAUUCAUUUAAAUGUUUUUUGCUAAUGUAAUUUUCUGUUCAUACACUCCCUCAAACUUUUCUUAUCUGCAUCAGUGGGGAACUCGUUCACGCAUGAAUCAAAACAUUCCCAAACGUGAACUCCUUUAUUUUUUGUUCUUUCCUUUAUUAAACCACAGUUGUCAGGGACAGAAGAAAACAGUGCAUUUUAGUGUCAUUGAGAGCUUGUGUGUAGCUCAUCCUUAAGUCUCCCAUAAAAGUGUAUGUUGUUCAGGCCUAAGCAUUUCACAAUGGCCUUUGUGGCAGAGGGUUUAGCUCUGUCUGUUUUCCUCCCUUCCAGGCAGCUGUGUGUUCUCUCUUCAAAAUUUUGAGAGAAAAGUUUGUUUUUGGGAACUCAUUUACUGAUGGCCAGGUUAAAAGCCUCUGCCUUGUUAGUACUCAGCAAGUGGCUUGUUUUACUCAGAGCAGAUUGUCCAAGGCUAAAAGCCACACGUUGCCUGAUUGUAUAGUCAGUCUAAGGGCUAGCAACAAGUUCAAAAUUGUCACUCACUAAACACUAUUUUUAAUGCAGUUAUCUCCUUUGGUUCCUCCCCAUACAUAUUAAUAAUAUGAUAAUAAUAAUAUCUUUAUUUAUUGAAGGUAGCUCGGUCAAUUUCCACUGAAACUGAUCUUCCCAAAGACCUUCAAAGAGAAAACAGUAUGUAGGAAACAUAUGAAAAGAUUAAAAUACAUAAAAAAAAAAUACAUCAGUAUUUAUAAAAUAAAAGAAAGCAUUGUGUAUUUUGAAAAGUGACAUACAUUCAUACAUACACACUCAACAACACAACCAAUAGUGCUGUCACUGCAACUGUCCCAACCAGCGGGGGAAGUAGGGUAGUGGAAGACGCCCCAUUAUCGACCCUUUUCUGCCCUCCUGCUGUCUGGAACCCUGACACACAUAUACAGAGAACAAGCCAAAUGAGUGGAAGAUUGCCCCUUUAGAAAUAAUUAGAAAUAAUAAGAUUGUUCUUUAGAAAUAAUGGUAGAUCAUUUAUGUAUAGUAUAAAAAGUAAAGGCCGCAAUAUGGAGCCAGCCUUGCAAGACACUGGCUUUAAUAUCCUUAGCAUUAUACAUUUCUCCUCCAACAACAACCAUUUGUUGUGUGUUGGAUAGGUAUCACUGGAAGAAUGUAAGAGCAGUUGAGUGAAUUUGUAUGCUUUAAGUUUUUUAAGUAAUAUAUUGUGAUUAACAGUAUCAAAUGCCUGCUUGAAGUCUACAGGUACAGUUCCAAUAACUUCAGUGUUAUCUGUCGCCGUAAACCAGUGUUCAACCAUUUUCAGCAAUACAGUUCCACAAGAGCGUAAGAGGGGCAAAAACCACAUUUAUUUUUGCUCAAUAAUUUAAAAUUUGAGAGAUACUCAUAUAAACAGUUAUGUAAAUGUCGUUCAGUGAUUUUUGAAAAAAUGAGUAGGACAGAUAUUGGAUGAUAGUUUUCAACUUUGAACCCCUUUUGUGAAGAGGGAUAACCAUGUCUGGUCAUAACACAUUUGUUUAUUAGCAUGGUAAAAGAUUUUGCAAUAAUAGGCGCAGAUGAUGAAAGAAAUUUAGAAUUGACAUUGUCUAGAUCACUAGCCUUAUCUAUAUCAAGCCUUAAAAGGUAUUGUAAAACAGAAACGUACAAGAUAUUUGGUAUGGAGUAAAAAGUAUCAUGAAGAACUUUUCUCUCAACUUGUUCCCUGAGUUUUUCAAGACUUUGAACAAAAUUGUCCUUGUUUAUAUUAUUAAUAUCUAUUAAAGAAUGGGGACAGUUGAGAAGAAAGUAUUGAAAAUAUGGAAAUUUUUAGCUGGAUCAUCUAUUAAAUUGCCAUCCUCCUCAGUCAUAGCCAAAUACUGCUUGCACAAACAGUGAUUUCCCU